rnacentral:tRNA from 1 species
AGAGAGGUGACUCAGUGGUUAAGAGCACUUGCUCUUGCAAUGGACCUGGGUUCAAUUCCCAGCUCACUA